rnacentral:rRNA from 1 species
UCAGGCCUAACACAUGCAAGUCGAGGGGUAGUCUCGUUUCGGCGAGAUGAGACCGGCGCACGGGUGCGUAACGCGUAUGCAAUCUACCUUUUACAGAGGGAUAGCCCAGAGAAAUUUGGAUUAAUACCUCAUAGUAUAUAUCAUUCGCAUGUUUGGUAUAUUAAAGUUCCAACGGUAAAAGAUGAGCAUGCGUCCCAUUAGUUAGUUGGUAAGGCAACGGCUUACCAAGACGAUGAUGGGUAGGGGUCCUGAGAGGGAGAUCCCCCACACUGGUACUGAGACACGGACCAGACUCCUACGGGAGGCAGCAGUGAGGAAUAUUGGUCAAUGGACGCAAGUCUGAACCAGCCAUGCCGCGUGCAGGAAGACGGUCCUAUGGAUUGUAAACUGCUUUUGUACGGGAAGAAACACUCCUACGGUAGGAGCCUGAC